rnacentral:rRNA from 1 species
CCCUUAGACGUUCUGGGCCGCACGCGCGCUACACUGACCAGUGCAACAAGCAUCCGUCCUUGGCCGACAGGCCCGGGCAAUCUUUGAACGCUGGUCGUGAUGGGGAUAGAUUAUUGCAAUUAUUAAUCUUCAACGAGGAAUGCCUAGUAAGCGCAAGUCAUCAGCUUGCGUUGAUUACGUCCCUGCCCUUUGUACACACCGCCCGUCGCUCCUACCGAUUGAAUGGUCCGGUGAAGCGUUCGGACCGUGGCCUUUGGACGGUUCGCCGUCUGUUGGCUGCGGGAAGUUCGUUAAACCUUAUCAUUUAGAGGAAGGAGAAGUCGUANCA